CACCUGGCUGGCUCAGUCAGUAGAGCAUGAGACUCUUGACCUUUCGGUUGUAAGUUUGAGGCCUGCGUUGGGUAUAGAGAUUGCUUAAAAAUAAAAUCUUAACAAAAAGAAAAACAAAAAAGAACCCACUGGCAUUUGGCAACAGAUAAUAGAAAAAUCAGCUUCCUAAAGUUUAUUCAAAAGAAGUAUUUUUUUCUUGCAGAACAAAAAGUUCAGAGAAAGACAAGUUGCUGGCAUUGGCUCAACACAUCAAGAAUGUCAGGGUCUAGGUUUCUUGGACUUUUCCUCAUUGAUAAAACAUAGCUGCUACAUCUCCAGUCCUCUCAUCUGUGAUCCAGGGAGGAAGGCCAGGUACAGGAUGGGCAGGUACACUUUAGGACAGGUUUACGGGAAAAAUUAAAUGCACAGAGCACACUUACCCAAUUUGUGAAUCAUACGCAAAACAGAAAGCCACAUGGUGUGGAGAACCUCCAUGCCUGCCUUUUAGCAGAUGUUCCUGGGGAAUGCCAAUACAACCCAGGAUUCCUUGGAAAGUGAG